UACAGAGGUGGCAAGCGUUGUUCGGAAUUACUGGGCGUAAAGGGCGCGUAGGCGGCCUUCUAAGUCAGACGUGAAAUCCCCCGGCUUAACCUGGGAACUGCGUCUGAUACUGGAAGGCUUGAGUGCGGGAGAGGGAUGUGGAAUUCCUGGUGUAGCGGUGGAAUGCGCAGAUAUCAGGAGGAACACCGGUGGCGAAGGCGGUUCUCUGGGCAUUACCUGACGCUGAGGAGCGAAAGUGUGGGGAGCGAACAGG
rnacentral:rRNA from 1 species